ACGCACGCUGGCGGCGUGCUUCACCCAUGCAAGUCGCACGGAAAGGCCCUGCUUUUGUGGGGUGCUCGAGUGGCGAACGGGUGAGUAACACGUGAGUAACCUGCCCUUGACUUUGGGAUAACUUCAGGAAACUGGGGCUAAUACCGGAUAGGAGCUCCUGCUGCAUGGUGGGGGUUGGAAAGUUUCGGCGGUUGGGGAUGGACUCGCGGCUUAUCAGCUUGUUGGUGGGGUAGUGGCUUACCAAGGCUUUGACGGGUAGCCGGCCUGAGAGGGUGACCGGCCACAUUGGGACUGAGAUACGGCCCAGACUCCUACGGGAGGCAGCAGUGGGGAAUAUUGCACAAUGGGCGGAAGCCUGAUGCAGCAACGCCGCGUGCGGGAUGACGGCCUUCGGGUUGUAAACCGCUUUCGCCUGUGACGAAGCAUGAGUGACGGUAAUGGGUAAAGAAGCACCGGCUAACUACGUG
rnacentral:rRNA from 1 species